rnacentral:rRNA from 1 species
AACGAACGCUGGCGGCAUGCCUAACACAUGCAAGUCGAACGAGACCUUCGGGUCUAGUGGCGCACGGGUGCGUAACGCGUGGGAACCUGCCCUUAGGUUCGGAAUAACUCCCCGAAAGGGGUGCUAAUACCGGAUAAUGUCUUCGGACCAAAGAUUUAUCGCCUUUGGAUGGGCCCGCGUUGGAUUAGCUAGUUGGUAGGGUAAAAGCCUACCAAGGCGACGAUCCAUAGCUGGUCUGAGAGGAUGAUCAGCCACACUGGGACUGAGACACGGCCCAGACUCCUGCGGGAGGCAGCAGUGGGGAAUAUUGGACAAUGGGCGAAAGCCUGAUCCAUCAAUGCCGCGUGAGUGAUGAAGGCCUUAGGGUUGUAAAGCUCUUUUACCCGGGAUGAUAAUGACAGUACCGGGAGAAUAAGCGCCGGCUAACUCCGUG